rnacentral:rRNA from 1 species
GAUGAACGCUGGCGGCGUGCCUAAUACAUGCAAGUCGAGCGAACAGAUGAGGAGCUUGCUCCUCUGACGUUAGCGGCGGACGGGUGAGUAACACGUGGAUAACCUACCUAUAAGACUGGGAUAACUUCGGGAAACCGGAGCUAAUACCGGAUAAUAUAUUGAACCGCAUGGUUCAAUAGUGAAAGACGGUUUUGCUGUCACUUAUAGAUGGAUCCGCGCCGCAUUAGCUAGUUGGUAAGGUAACGGCUUACCAAGGCAACGAUGCGUAGCCGACCUGAGAGGGUGAGCGGCCACCCUGGAACUGAGACACGGUCCAGACUCCUACGGGAGGCAGCAGUAGGGAAUCUUCCGCAAUGGGCGAAAGCCUGACGGAGCAACGCCGCGUGAGUGAUGAAGGUCUUCGGAUCGUAAAACUCUGUUAUUAGGGAAGAACAAAUGUGUAAGUAACUAUGCACGUCUUGACGGUACCUAAUCAGAAAGCCACGGCUAACUACGUG